UACACCAAAACCCUACAUGCACUGUAUACGUCUGCAGUUGGAUUUGUUGGAUCAAGGCCUCCAGUGGUUGUGGGUUGGUCAUGACAAGAGGCUGCACUAUGGUGGAUUCUCGGGCUGCACCCUUUGACUAUGGUGAGAGGCCAUAGAGUUGUGUGCUCUUGUCCUUGCUAUACUCUCUUUCCUCUUCAAUUAGGCUGCUUGUCCUUCCUCUAGUACUAAUCUAUCACUAUAAGAUUUCGGUUGGAUGCUGAUGUGAACGAGGUUGAAUGCUGUCUGGAGAUUAGGAUGCUAAAGAGGAAACCUGCAC
rnacentral:lncRNA from 1 species